CGUGUGUGUGCCGCUGGGUCCAGGGCCUUCCCUCGCCGCUCGUCUUACCGGAGGCCUUGCCGACAUGAGCGGCAGAGAAGGAUCAGGAGGGUUCAGGAAAAGGAAGCAUGACAAUUUUCCACAUAACCAAAGAAGAGAAGGGAGGGAUGUUAAUUCAUCUUCACCCGUGAUGCUGGCCUUCAAAUCAUUUCAGCAGGAGCUUGAUGCAAGGCAUGACAAAUAUGAGAGACUUGUGAAACUUAGUCGGGAUAUAACUGUUGAAAGUAAAAGGGCUAUUUUUCUACUCCAUAGGAUUACGAGUGCUCCUGAUAUGGAAGAAAUACUGAAUGAAUCAGAAAUUAAACUGGAUGGUGUCCGACAGAAGAUACUGCAGGUAGCACAGGAGCCGUCAGGAGAAGACAUGCACCAAUUCCAUAGAGCCAUUACUACAGGACUGCAAGAAUAUGUGGAAGCUGUCUCUUUUCAGUACUUCAUCAAAACACGAUCAUUAAUCAGUAUGGAUGAAAUUAAUAAGCAAUUGAUAUUUACAACUGAAGACAACGGGAAAGAAAAUAAGAUUCCCUCUUCUGAUGCACAGGAUAAACAGUUUGGCACUUGGAGCCUGAAAAUCACACCUGUGGAUUACCUUCUAGGAGUGGCUGAUUUAACUGGAGAAUUGAUGCGGAUGUGUAUUAACAGUGUGGGGAAUGGGGACAUUGACACCCCCUUUGAAGUGAGCCAGUUUUUACGGCAGGUUUAUGAUGGAUUUUCAUUCAUUGGCAACACUGGACCAUAUGAGGUUUCUAAAAAGCUGUAUACCUUGAAACAGAGUCUGGCCAAAGUGGAGAAUGCUUGUUAUGCUUUGAAAGUCAGAGGUUCAGAAAUUCCAAAGCAUAUGCUGGCAGAUGUGUUUUCAGUAAAAACAGAAAUGAUUGAUCAAGAAGAGGGCAUUUCUUAGAAUUACAUUACUGGGUUAUUCUUCUGAGAACUCCUAAGAGAGACCAAUUUAUAAGACUGUUGUUUAGUAUUUCAUUUGACUUUAUGUGGCUUUUCCAUAGAACCAUUUUCAGUUGUACUUGUUUUAAAUUGUAUACAAGCUGUACAUAAAAUUAUCCAAGUGAAUCAUUUCUUGUAUCUUAUUCAUGAAAGUUUGCAUACAAAUAUUUGCCUACUUACCUAUUUGAAUAUUUGCUGGUUAACCUUCAUCAUUUAUCUUUGUAAUAUGAACAUACUGCAUAUUUCAGAGUGCAAUUUCUACCAUAUCUAUUAAUUUCCUUUUGUGAAUUUUGGAGUGGUAAUUUUUAGUGGAAGCCACUUAUAAUUUAAGUUGAUGAUUUUAUUAUAUAGAGAAAAGAUUUUUUAGUUACAUUUCUGGACUUUUGCUUCCAGUUUAAAUUUCUUGUUACUGUUGUGCCAAGCUUCCAAAAUAGGCUUAUUCUAUGGAAUAAGAAUUAAGAAUUAACAAGCUGUCAGUGUACUUCAAGUGUAAGUUUAUGAGGUAUGAUAGUGAAAAUUCAUGUUAUAUUUUGGCCAAUUUUAGGUCAUUUUAAAUUUAUAUGAAACAACCUUCCAGAAAAAUUGACAGAUACCCUGAUGUUAUUUUCUUCUCCUUUUUUUUGUCCUUUGUCAUAGAAGUUCUUAAAGAGAAUCAGAGCUAACACUAAUAUUUUCACUGGUAAUAUUGAACUGAAUUAUAUACUUAUAUUUAACAACUGAAAAGCUUUUAGUAGUGAUUAUUUAGCAAUUUUUUUGUUGUUGUUGGCUGUUCUUAGGCAUGUUUAGAGGCUUUCCUAUUCUAGCAUCUAUCACAAAUUACAUUUAAACGGUGAAGUUUUGAAGUACUAAGUUAAUACAGAUCUUUUAGGUGUCCCAUUGUGGUAAUUAAUAAAUGAAAGUUGCCAAAGAAAAAUUAUAAUGUACAAUUCAGCAAUAAGAUAAUUGUCAACACAAUUGAGAAUAACAUGGUAGUUUCUAGUAAUAUUUAGAAUUGGAAUUUGACUAAUGAAAUUAGCUGUAGAUUAUUAUUUUGAUGUGAAACUGAUGUGGGUAUAACACCAUUGGCUGACAACCAGACUUUCCAAUUGGUUUUGUGAGUUUUGAGAAUCUGGAUACUAGAUAUCAUUUUUGGAAAGAUUUUGGAAAUCUUUUGGAAAGAUUUCAUUUUGUAGAGGCUGAUUCUUUGAAAGUGUAAUUUUCCAAAAAAUACCACCUAAAGGAAAAUAAACAUA